AGAAAGAGAAAGAGAAAACCCUAUCAGCAAGAGGAAAGUGAAUGUAAAGGUUGGAGGAAAACUAAACGAGUACUCGGGUCAGAUAACAGAAGGUAGUGCCAUUUCUUUCUUACGUUCCCAAAAUGCUGAGAAGAAAGCCCAGCAAGAUCCAACUCCAGAUCGAAGACAAGGAAGAGCUCGACGAAGCCCGCAAACAUGCCCCAGCCGCCGCCACCACUGCCGCCGCCGCAGCCACUGGAGCAGCCACUCUUCUCCAUCAGCUCGACCGCCACUCCAAAGACCCUUCCGUCCCCCACCGCAUCGGCCUUUCCUCCCAAUAAUCUAAAAAAGGCCCCCCAAUAUAGCAGUCAAUAUCUUUUCUUUCUUUUUCCUUUAUUUGUAUUUGCUCGGAACUGGAGCAGCUUAUUCAUGGAGGUCAAGGUUAAUCUGCGGCUUCCAGACACGGGCCCUGUCACCGAUGUUCUGGCCCCGUUCCAGGAAGAACCACCUCUUCGACGGCCCGGACAAGUCCAAGUUCGGGAGCUGCAGUAGCAAAGAUUAUUAGCUGCCAGUGAUGUGAAAGAUCUCCUGGUGAUGAAGCAAAGCUUGGACUCGGACACCUUAAAGGAAUGGCUGUUCUCGCCCCCCGAAGGCUGAAGCAGCAUACUCCAGAAAGUUUGAAACUCUCCAAGUUUGUAAUAAAUCCAUAUUUUAUAUAAUGUCACCAGCUUUUCUUUUAAACUCGAUGAAGAAAUUCACUUACUUUGGUUGUUUCUCCUUAUUGAUUAUUGGCGUUCAUCAUCCCUUAUAGUUAUUAUUA